AACGAACGCUGGCGGCAUGCCUUACACAUGCAAGUCGAACGGCAGCACGGGAGCAAUCCUGGUGGCGAGUGGCGAACGGGUGAGUAAUAUAUCGGAACGUGCCCGGUCGUGGGGGAUAACGUAGCGAAAGCUACGCUAAUACCGCAUACGAUCUACGGAUGAAAGCGGGGGAUCGCAAGACCUCGCGCGAUUGGAGCGGCCGAUAUCAGAUUAGGUAGUUGGUGAGGUAAAGGCUCACCAAGCCGACGAUCUGUAGCUGGUCUGAGAGGACGACCAGCCACACUGGGACUGAGACACGGCCCAGACUCCUACGGGAGGCAGCAGUGGGGGAAUUUUGGACAAUGGGCGCAAGCCUGAUCCAGCAAUGCCGCGUGCAGGAUGAAGGCC
rnacentral:rRNA from 1 species